rnacentral:rRNA from 1 species
GAUGAACGCUGGCGGCGUGCCUAAUACAUGCAAGUCGAGCGAACAGAUGAGGAGCUUGCUCCUCUGACGUUAGCGGCGGACGGGUGAGUAACACGUGGAUAACCUACCUAUAAGACUGGGAUAACUUCGGGAAACCGGAGCUAAUACCGGAUAAUAUAUUGAACCGCAUGGUUCAAUAGUGAAAGACGGUUUUGCUGUCACUUAUAGAUGGAUCCGCGCCGCAUUAGCUAGUUGGUAAGGUAACGGCUUACCAAGGCAACGAUGCGUAGCCGACCUGAGAGGGAGAGCAGGCAAAAUGUAACCACGCCACGGUGAAGAGCACUGCAGGAGGACGCAGUGCGGAAUGUUGCAUGAGGGUCUGAAGCACGACCGAUAAAUACCGCAGGAAGGAAGAAGGUUUUCAGAUCGUAAAACUCUGUUAGUAGGAAAGAACAAAAGUUUAAGUAACAACUCCCGUCCAAAAGAGGCAUAACCAGCAGCCCACGACUCAUUUCAAG